CAGUCGCCACGGGAAUACGUAGGUGGCAAGCGUUGUCCGGAAUUAUUGGGCGUAAAGGGCUCGCAGGCGGUUUCUUAGGUCUGAUGUGAAAGCCCCCGGCUCAACCGGGGAGGGUCAUUGGAAACUGGGAAACUUGAGUGCAGAAGAGGAGAGUGGAAUUCCACGUGUAGCGGUGAAAUGCGUAGAGAUGUGGAGGAACACCAGUGGCGAAGGCGACUCUCUGGUCUGUAACUGACGCUGAGGAGCGAAAGCGUGGGGAGCGAACAGGAUUAGAUACCCCAGUAGUCCCUGUCUCUUAUAA
rnacentral:rRNA from 1 species